rnacentral:rRNA from 1 species
UUUGGGGAUGGUGAGUAUGCAUAGGAAUCUACCUAGUAGUAUAGGAUAGCCACUAGAAGUGGUGGGUAAUACUGUAUAAUCCCUGCGGGGGAAAGAUUUAUCGCUACAUGAUGAGCCUAUGUUAGAUUAGCUAGUUGGUGGGGUAAUGGCCUACCAAGGCAGUGAUCUAUAGCUGGUCUGAGAGGAUGAUCAGCCACACUGGAACUGAGACACGGUCCAGACUCCUACGGGAGGCAGCAGUGGGGAAUAUUGGACAAUGGGCGCAAGCCUGAUCCAGCUAUGCCGCGUGAGUGAGGAAGGCCUUAGGGUUGUAAAACUCUUUCAGUGGGGAAGAUAAUGACGGUACCCACAGAAGAAGUCCCGGCAAACUCCGUGCCAGCAGCCGCGGUAAUACGGAGGGGGCAAGCGUUGUUCGGAAUUAUUGGGCGUAAAGGGCAUGUAGGUGGUUUGGUAAGUUAAAGGUGAAAUGCCAGGGCUUAACCCUGGAGCUGCUUUUAAUACUGCCAGACUGGGUCC